AUUUCAACACUUCAAUUGAGUAUUGCAAAACAUUCAGCGUGGGUCCGGACGAGACAGCAAAGGACUGCAUCCGUUCAGCACUCAGCCACCUCGAGAUGCGCGGAUUGGACCCUUCUCAGUUCCAGUUGUGGGC